AGCCCGCUCCCCUCCCCUCCCCUUUGCACACACAAGCCAGUACAAACACACACGUUUUUGUGGAAAUCAGAAGCAUGAAGCUUUGGUGUGGUUGCAAUCGAUGGGAAAAAGAUCGAGGUGUAACAGCAACUGGAUGCUUAAGUUUAGGAAAACAAGGGUUUGGUAAGUAGAGAUUCCGGUGAUAUAUUGCAUAAACAAGCUUUCUAUAACAACAAGGUAAGAACCAACACCAGUAAAAUCAUUUAUUUUAUUCGAUUUCAUGUAUAAUAGGGUUUUGGUUGCUGUUUUUCAGAAGUAGAAGGCGGAGGUGGCCCCAACUGGUUAAUAUUUGAUUAGUUUUUUUAUGGGUGUCAAAAGCUUAAUUGCUGACCAUUUAAGUUUAUAUAUAUAUAUAUAUAUUCGGUUUUGAUUUCUAAAGGAAUGUUUGGUUGGGACGGGGUCAUGGGUUUCGAAGUGAUCUAUUUAAGAUGGUUGCAGAUAUGAAGCCUGCAUUUAUCAGAUUUCCAGGUUUAUCUAUACUAUAUAAGAAGAUGAAGAGAAGAGAGAGGUUGAGAUGGUUUCUGUGCUCUGGAACUUCAAAGAAGAAGAAGAUGAAGAUAUGGGGAUGGUUUCCAUGCUCUGCAACCUCAAAGAAGAUGAAGAGCUAUCACCUAUGAGCUUCAGAAGAUAUGGGGGAUGGAAAAAAGAAAAAGUGUUUCAUAGAGAGUUGACUACUUGACUUGGUCAAGUUGAUAUGAUAUGGUCAAUAAAAUUCCAUUCAUGCUGAAAAUUCUUUCUAAAGAAUUAGGACCACAAUUGGUUGAAGAAUGCUAUGAUUUUUUAUACUUGGCGUCAACAACUCACAAUAUUUGGGUUCAAAUCUUUUACAAGUCUGGUGGCAUGACUGUUUUAGGACCUCGGAUUCCAAUCUUAACGGAUGGUAUAUUUCAUAUAAAUUAUAACCGAAGUGUAUUAUUUUAGUUUCAAGGUUUGAGUAUCAUAUCUGGAUAUGGAUUUAAUAUUCCUGAAAUGUAUUUAUGUAUGAAACAUUCCCUCGACACAGUUAUAAAAGAGAACUAUUCAGAAUUGUCA